rnacentral:rRNA from 1 species
CGGCGGACGGGUGAGUAAUGCCUAGGAAUCUGCCUGGUAGUGGGGGACAACGUUUCGAAAGGAACGCUAAUACCGCAUACGUCCUACGGGAGAAAGCAGGGGACCUUCGGGCCUUGCGCUAUCAGAUGAGCCUAGGUCGGAUUAGCUAGUUGGUGAGGUAAUGGCUCACCAAGGCGACGAUCCGUAACUGGCCUGAGAGGAUGAUCAGUCACACUGGAACUGAGACACGGUCCAGACUCCUACGGGAGGCAGCAGUU